GCCCGUGUGGCUCAGUUGGUAGAGCAUGGUGCUUGCGAUGCCAGGUAUGUGGAUUCGAUUCCCACGGGGGGCC
rnacentral:tRNA from 1 species